rnacentral:rRNA from 1 species
GAGAGAUUGAGGAGUGCCCGAAAGGGAACCAUUACACAGGUGCUGCAUGGCUGUCGUCAGCUCGUGUCGUGAGAUGUUGGGUUAAGUCCCGCAACGAGCGCAACCCUUGUCAUUAGUUGCUACGAAAGAGCACUCUAAUGAGACUGCCGGUGACAAACCGGAGGAAGGUGGGGAUGACGUCAAGUCCUCAUGGCCCUUAUGGGUAGGGCUUCACACGUCAUACAAUGGUACAUACAGAGCGCCGCCAACCCGCGAGGGGGAGCUAAUCGCAGAAAGUGUAUCGUAGUCCGGAUUGUAGUCUGCAACUCGACUGCAUGAAGUUGGAAUCGCUAGUAAUCGCGGAUCAGCAUGUCGCGGUGAAUACGUUCCCGGGUCUUGUACACACCGCCCGUCACACCAUGGGAGCGGGUUUUACCAGAAGUAGGUAGCUUAACCG